GGCAAGCCUGGAGGCACACCAAUCGUAAGCCUGUGCGUACCCCUAGACACUCCCCUUACGCUGCCCUAUAAGAUCUUUUGGGAGACCCUAGGAGCCGUCUUUUUCUAGCCGUCUGCCAUGGCGGGUGGGUGAAAGACCCGAGCUAACAUGGGGUUAGCUCGUAAAACUACAAUAAAGCCUCAUGCAGUUUGCAUCAAGCUUUCGCCUCCAUUCUGUGUUUGGGGUGGCCGCCGUCCUGGGCUAAGAUUCUGGAAGCCUCAGCUUUCUGAGGGUCUAACACCAACUUGACAGGCUCUAGAAUUCCUGAGGAGAGUGCUGCCUUCAACAGACAGAUGAGAUAUCUUCAAGGCUGCUGGAAAAGCCCCAACAAGAUGAUCUCAAGGUAUGGGUGUUUUGCCUGCAUCUGUCUGUGUACCACAGGAGUGCAGUGCCCGUGGAAGCCAGAAGAGGUCAUUGAAUUCCCUGGAAAUUGGAUCAGAGUAUUCUUGGAAAUGCAGCAUACUACUCUCUCCCACACCAAAUUAAAAUAUUUUUUAAAUAAAAAAUAAAAUUCUA
rnacentral:lncRNA from 1 species